CUGACUUCACUAGGAAUUAGUAUAAUUGGAAAUACAUAAGGUUUUGAGUUUUAUGAUGCAGGUUCGAGUCCUGUUUUCUAGG
rnacentral:tRNA from 1 species